AAUAUAUCGGAACGUGCCCAGUCGUGGGGGAUAACGCAGCGAAAGCUGUGCUAAUACCGCAUACGAUCUCUGGAUGAAAGCGGGGGACUCAGCAAUGAGCCUCGCGCGAUUGGAGCGGCCGAUAUCAGAUUAGCUAGUUGGUGGGGUAAAAGCCUACCAAGGCGACGAUCUGUAGCUGGUCUGAGAGGACGACCAGCCACACUGGAACUGAGACACGGUCCAGACUCCUACGGGAGGCAGCAGUGGGGAAUUUUGGACAAUGGGCGAAAGCCUGAUCCAGCAAUGCCGCGUGCAGGAUGAAGGCCUUCGGGUUGUAAACUGCUUUUGUACGGAACGAAACGGUUCGCCUUAAUACGGUGGGCUAAUGACGGUACCGUAAGAAUAAGCACCGGCUAACUACGUGCCAGCAGCCGCGGUAAUACGUAGGGUGCGAGCGUUAAUCGGAAUUACUGGGCGUAAAGCGUGCGCAGGCGGUUAUAUAAGACAGAUGUGAGAUCCCCGGGCUCAACCUGGGACCUGCAUUUGUGACUGUAUAGCUAGAGUACGGUAGAGGGGGAUGGAAUUCCGCGUGUAGCAGUGAAAUGCGUAGAUAUGCGGAGGAACACCGAUGGCGAAGGCAAUCCCCUGGACCUGUACUGACGCUCAUGCACGAAAGCGUGGGGAGCAAACAGGAUUAGAUACCCUGGUAGA
rnacentral:rRNA from 1 species